UCAAAAGAAAAAGGCAGGCAAGGAUAUGGGUUUUUGUUUCUUCUUAAAUCACAUUAAUUGAAGCAACAGGUUUCCAUGUAUAAAAUUUAAAUCUACAGAAAUAUAGACACCAAAAAAAAAAAGUAUAUUCCCACGUCCAGAAAAACCAGCGACGUUCAAAGAUUUCUGAAAGAUAAAGGAGAUCCUGUUUGGAGAAGCUCUGCUUGGAAGAAAGAUGGCACCAAGGUUUUAGCCCAGGCCAGAAAAGAGAACAAACAGUUGUGUUUCCUGGGGAACAGCGUGGAUGGAAACAACACAUGACAUUCUGAAAUCCAUCUAACACAGAAAUAAUGGCCCUAUUACCAAGACCAAAGAAGUGAGCCAAGCCAUACACACGGGCAUAGAACUCGGAUUUGUAACCAGAUGCCCAGACUCCCAGCUUAAGAUGCAGGGUCACCAGAGCACAACCAGAGAGACCGGGAAGUCUGCUGUAUCACAGACCAGUCCAAGAAUGUAUCAAGCCAGUCCAAGAAUGUACUUAGGAGCAAUCCUGCUAUGAUGGGAGCUGGUCUCUCAUGAGGCCAUUGCUCUGGAUCCUGGAUAGUGUUUUAGAAUUAGCUAAGGGCAGCAAAGGUCACUGCCCAUCCCUUAGGGUUCGCGUCAACCACAUUCAGACUGAGCUGGAUUCCAAAACUACGUCUGGCCAGAACUGCAUCUGAGAAGCGCUACCCAGUAGAGCCCCAAAUAUUUAGUUCUCAAAGUUGACUGAAUGACUGAAUGAAUAAUACAACAUUCAAUCUAUUUACAAAAAUAAAUACAACAUGGAAACCAUCUGACUUCACAGUUGUUUGCGGAGUGCAGAUGGGCGCAAAGUGGGAUCUGAGCUGAUCACAGCUCAAACGGCCCAGCCAAGGCUUCACUAAGGGAAGUACAAAGACUGCGCAGAGAGCGUUGGGUCCAACUGCUGAAACCAUCCUUUAAAUGCAACUUGACUGUCUAGGAGAGGGUGAUGGCAACAAUAGCAUGCCAGGAAUUUCUGGAGGAACUAGACGAUGAGCUCCUACGGGGAGGGAAAGCUGUGUCUUAUCACUUUGUAUGCUUAGCAAGUAGCAUCAUACACAAAGCAAGGGCUCCCCUCUGUGUGCCCCCAACCCCCAGCCUAUGUUACAUGAAAGUGGAGGGAGUUUAACCCAAUGUGAUUCAGCAGAACUACAAAGAAGCUGCCUUCGAACAUUUGAGGGGCCUUCCCCUGGACAAUCAGAUUUCUCAUGUGUGGCUCCAGAGCACGAAAUGAGGAGUCUGAGUCUGUGGCUUUAACUUUACGAACACAGAGGGGUGGGCCGCACAGCAGAGCAGCAGGUGCCUACCUCCCCACUGGACACCCAAGCAGAACCCAUGACAACCUGUGCGUUCUGUGGAGGAAGGCCCCACAGCACGUGGGAGGUCAACCAAGGGGCCUCUCUGGUGCCAUCCAAUGGGCUCCAGGACUCGGACACUCUCCACUUGAACGUGAGAAAGGUAUGUCUGUUUAGAAAAUCCUUUUGGCAGACCGCUGUCAGUUUUUCUCAUUAGAUACCCACUCAGUGCUCCCUUGGUUUUUCUCCACAGUGUGGAUUCUUGAAAACAACGGAAAACACAGUUGCUUUUUUUUUAACUGAGUUUUAAAAUUUUUUACCAAACACAUAUUUUAUUUUUUUUUAAUUUAAGCAUAGUUGACACACAGUUUUAUAUGAGUUUUAGGGGUACAACAUAGUGCUUCAACAUUUGUGUAUGAAGUGAUAAAUCUAGCUACCAUCUGCCACCCUACAAAGCUGUUAUAUAUUAUUAACUGUAUUCCCUAUGGUAUACAUCAUACACCCAUGUCUUCUUUAUUUUAGGACUGCAAAUCUGUACCUUUCAAUCCCUUUCCUCUAUUUUUGCCCAUUUAC